ACAUGCCUAUAGAAUAGCGUUAAUGCACCGAAUCCAAUUAGAACUCCGCAGUUAAGCAUGGUCAGGCUAGAGUAGUACUGGGAUGGGUGAGCACCUGAGAAGUCUUAGUGUUUUACAAGCC
rnacentral:rRNA from 1 species